GCGAGCUGUGCAGGAGAUUAAAAAAAAAAAACCUCGAGGGAACUGUUGGUACCCGUUCCCAUGCAAUCACCAGCUGCCUAGAAGAGAAAGGAAUCUAACCAGUCUGUGGGCUGCCAAGGAUGAACACAGUUUCAUUAAGUCUGUUUCAGGAUCUCUUACAAAGCCUGGCCAAAGUGACUGAAAUGAAAACUAACAAAGUGAAUCACAUGGACAUCCUCAAAUUAGUGAAACAAGAACUAAAGGACACAAAUGGAAACAAAGGGGGUGAUGAAUUUAAAAUUAACAAGAGGACAACUUUUUGCACAAAGCUGUGGGAGUCUGGAACAAGCCUCCCAGCCAUUUCGUUGAAAGCUGAUACCCUGAUUUUCUUCAAGAAAGAGAUGGAUGAGAUCACAGAUGACUGAUUGAAAGACUUUCUUGCAUUUGCAGCAUUGACAGGUAAGCCUUUUUCACUGCUUGUUCAUUCCCCCCUUAACUUCAUGGUGCAAAACUCUAUACAUCGUUUCAGUUUCUAAAGACCAGAAGUCAAACAUGAUAGGAAUGUAAUAGCUAUACUACCAUUUUUUUCUCCCUGUUAUUCCUUUGUGGGACUGUACAUUUCAGCAAGCCUUUUAUUUCUUCACUAAAGGCAUCAGUUUUGCCAGUUGCUGAACCUGAACCAAUAAAGGGUAAAGCACAAAACCUGUAUGUACAGUACAUCAAUAUACUGCAACAACAAUUACAUGUUCAACCAAGAAAACUCCAUAUGGCACAUGACCCUCUCAUACAGUAGCUGUUGUUGGUAAAUACUAAGUUUUUUGCAUAAAUCACAGCCUUGUUGAUAGUUUGGAGAAUCUCCAUUACGAUGUUUGGCAAUUUUGUCAAAUUCUAAUGAUAACAGAACUAGACAAGGAAGAUUAAAGGACAGCAUACUUAAUACUUUGGCACUGGCUCACCUGGAAGAGUCAACUACAGUGCUAGCCAGAGAUGGACUUCAUUACAACCCCUCUCACUUCCCAGAGGAAACCAGAGACCUGGGAGCUGCUACAGUGAUGAAGCUGAAGUCGAGGAAAGGGUGCAAGAGAAGAUGUGCAAGAUUAGAACAGCCUUCCUCCCAAACUGUUCUACUGUUAAAUGACACCAUUGUUAACAAUUACUGGUGUUGGUCAAAUAAGCUUGCUGUAUCUGCAAAAGAAAAAGGUGCUAGAUGAUGCAAGGUUUUGGAUGAAAAUAUACAGUACCCCUGGUACAAAAGCUUUGCUGUCAUAGGCAACAGUAUGUAUGUAAAAUGUAUGAUAACAAUUACACUAAAAUGGCAUUUUAGGACUUGCAACAUGUUCAGAUAAACAGUGCAUGUGUCAGAAAAACAAUAUAUUGACCUUGGCCUUCAGCAGGCAUGUGUCCAGUAACUGAAUUUUUUCAACGUUUAUACUGUAGCUGAAAUGUUAUACUCGAACAUUUUAAACUGUUCAGCUUCAAAAUGUGCAGGAUUCACCUCUCCACAAUUCUUUACAU